GUAGCUUCCUUGUCGUGUGGCCUCAGUCCUUCGCCGUCCCUCGCCGUCCUUCGCCAUCGCACGCCACCGCACCCCAUCUCUCGAAAUCUGCAGACAUCUUGAUUUUUCCCACGCUGUCUGUCAGGUCUCCGCCGCCACUCGACGCCAGGGCGCCGGGUGAGUCCACAGCAGGGCGCAUGGUCGGCUCCACUCUCACCAUCGGGGGAAACUGAGGCCCCGGGGAAGGCGGCCAGAGAGGUCAGGCCCUGUCCUUGGUGCAGUGUCUCGUCCUCUUUGCCGGAGUGAGCCCCCCAGGAUUCGCGUGUCCUCGGGAAAGACACUGGCAGGCCUUGUGGGCUGUGCUGCACCUCGGACGGCUUCGCACCAGCCAGCGCCCUCUCUCUCCUGCAGCACUCUGAUCUGCACCCCCUGAGGGGCUUCCACUGUCCGCGGGGUGAGAAUGCCCCUGGGAGUGUCACAUGACUGCCGCCCCAUGUGUGUGAGAGGCGUCCUCUGGGAGAGCAUGGAUCCUGAGGUCCCAGGAACAUCCCGAGAGCCAAGUUCCCAGAUGCCAGCCAAGGGCCAUCUGACCUGUUUUGAAUCUCAAUUUCCUGAUACAGAAAACAAAGGAUUGUCAGCUGACCUCUGUCCUGUGUGCCCAGUGGCCCCAGGUGACGUGUCUUCAAGAAGAGGCUGAGCUGCGGUGCUUGUAAGAUGGGUCUGCUGUGUGCAGAGGCUCCAUGGGAUGUGUUGUCUUCAUAGUAGCAGGGCGCUGGACCAUGGGUCCGCAAGGUCUCAGCCUUAGAUCCAAGGACAGUCCAAGGAAGUCCUAAGACCAUGGAGUUGGUGAUCUGGGAUCUGGGUUUGCUGAUAUUUCUCACCGUGAAUCUCUUGGUGGUGUUUGUGGGCACGAGAGGGGCAGAGAAUGGAGAGUGAGGCUACCACAUGAAGCGUCACCAGAGCUGCUCCCUGCUGCCUGCUCAGAGCACCCCGGAUCCACUGUUCAAUCUGCACAAGAUUCGGGGUCCAGACAUGGGAGACUUCAGCUGCCUCAGAGGACCGUGGACAGGGAAGGCCAGCCUCGCAUCCCUCUGUCCAUGCCUGGAAUGACUUUAAUAACCAAGAGUUUUAUUUUUGAAUUUGUAGCUGUCGUUCACUUUUUACCCACCCAUUCAAUAAACCUUACAGAAUUGC
rnacentral:lncRNA from 1 species